GCCCGAAUGGCGGAAUUGGUAGACGCAGGGGACUUAAAAUCCCCCGCUUUUAUAUGGCGUGCUGGUUCGAGUCCGGCUUCGGGUA
rnacentral:tRNA from 1 species